AUAACAUGAAAAACCCACUUUUUUAUCCAUUAACACAGUGUGUUUCACAUUUUAAGUGUCUAAGUGAGCAAAAAGGCUUAUAUUAUUCACUGGAGUUGCUAUUUAGAUAUUUAAUAAUUAAGUUUUGGGCAUAUUUGUCCACCCGUUCAGUUUUUACAUUAUCCAUUACGUCAGUAAUUAAUUUAGUCAGGAUAACUACCAAAUAUGGUAAUGGCCCUCGGCUAAACACAGAGCCAAUCCACCAUUUUUUCUUCUCGCUAAGAUUUUUUGUAGUCCUAUUGGAAAAAUGCAGAAUGUCUGGUUAUUUUAGCCACACACAGCUCAAAACUGUUCCUCGUUUUAAGGAAGGGUGGUGUGGCAGUAUUUAAACCCAGGAGCUGAUGACACUACUGCUAAAAAAACACAGAAGAAAAAGUAGUGUGUUUGUGUUUGUUUGUGUGUGUGUGUGUGUGUGUGCGCGUGGUUCGUUCGUUCCUGUCUCCAGGCUAGUAAGUACUGAGGGCUUCAUCUAUCUAAAAGGAGUCAUUUGCAUCUGAAUUUGGCAGCACCGGGACACAGCAGCAGAGCGAGUCAACAUCCAGAAGACUGGAGCCGUGUUUCACUGACAGGCUGUCAGACUAAAGCCCUGAUGAGCUCAGCUGGGACAAACUGGUCUGAUGUUUAGGAACACAGAACGUUCAGAUGUUGGCAUUUCACGUCACCUACUGAGGAAGGAGGCUCACCAGUAAAGAGAUGGUAGCUGGACCAGACCAAAAAUAUGGCGAUGACAUCAUGGAACUGGUCUUUGGAAAAGUUUUCCCUGAACCAACUCCGUUUCUAGAUGAGGUAGAGAAGAUCUGCAUCUCACCAACCCUCUGGUCUCAGUAUUCAGACAACGGAGGUCUCCCACUGUUAUCCAGGACCAGUUUGAAGCCCACAUACUGCCCCUCCCUCAUCAUCAGGAAACAUCAAUUCGUAUCCUGAGGACAACAGAAGACGGCAGGAGGACAGGAACUCUGAGACCUAGACACCACCAGCACCGAGACACAAAGCACCUGUGUGCACAACGCCUGUUUUAACUACUAAAGCCUGUUUAUUAUAUAGUUCUACUUAUUUGCUGUGAGGUUAAUACUUAGAAAAUGUGUAUAUUAAUGUAAACAAUAAAAAAAUCACUGAU